UUGACCAGUCAGGAUGCUGAUGGGCCGGA
rnacentral:piRNA from 1 species